GACGAACGCUGGCGGCGUGCCUAAUACAUGCAAGUCGAGCGGGAUUCUUCGGAAUCUAGCGGCGGACGGGUGAGUAACACGUGGGCAACCUGCCCGUAAGACUGGGAUAACACCGGGAAACCGGUGCUAAUACCGGAUAAUCCUUUUCCUCUCAUGAAGAAAAGCUGAAAGUCGGUUUCGGCUGACACUUACAGAUGGGCCCGCGGCGCAUUAGCUAGUUGGUGAGGUAACGGCUCACCAAGGCGACGAUGCGUAGCCGACCUGAGAGGGUGAUCGGCCACACUGGGACUGAGACACGGCCCAGACUCCUACGGGAGGCAGCAGUAGGGAAGCUUCCACAAUGGACGAAAGUCUGAUGGAGCAACGCCGCGUGAGCGAUGAAGGCCUUCGGGUCGUAAAGCUCUGUUGUUAGGGAAGAACAAGUACCGGAGUAACUGCCGGUACCUUGACGGUACCUAACCAGAAAGCCACGGCUAACUACGUGCCAGCCGCCGCAGUAAUAC
rnacentral:rRNA from 1 species